rnacentral:rRNA from 1 species
ACACUCCUGCGGGAGGCAGCAGUGGGGAAUAUUGCACAAUGGGCGCAAGCCUGAUGCAGCCAUGCCGCGUGUAUGAAGAAGGCCUUCGGGUUGUAAAGUACUUUUAGCGGGGAGGAAGGCGAUAAGGUUAAUAACCUUGUCGAUUGACGUUACCCGCAGAAGAAGCACCGACUAACUCCGUGCCAGCAGCCGCGGUAAUACGGAGGGUGCAAGCGUUAAUCGGAAUUACUGGGCGUAAAGCGCACGCAGGCGGUCUGUCAAGUCGGAUGUGAAAUCCCCGGGCUCAACCUGGGAACUGCAUUCGAAACUGGCAGGCUAGAGUCUUGUAGAGGGGGGUAGAAUUCCAGGUGUAGCGGUGAAAUGCGUAGAGAUCUGGAGGAAUACCGGUGGCGAAGGCGGCCCCCUGGACAAAGACUGACGCUCAGGUGCGAAAGCGUGGGGAGCAAACAGGAUUAGAUACCCGAGUAGUCCCAUG